CACCUCCCAUGCAGGUCAAAUUUGUGCAGUCUCUUUCUGAUUGUAGAAGCAUGCACUUUGACACCAACAGUUGCAAGAUGCUGUGAUGAAAUUUUGGGUUUCUUUGAGACUUCUUUUUGCAUCAGAUGGUCUGCUCUUGGGCUGAAUUUGCUGGGACGGCAAGGAUGUUAGGGCAGAUUUCAACUAGGCUAUAUCAAUAUUUUAGAUCAGACUCCAACCAGGUUGAAAAAGUAUGUUGGAUCAGAUCCCAACUAGGCUAUAUGUGAAUGCUAGAUCAGAUUCCAGCCAGGUUGAAAAAGGAUGUUGGAUCGGAUCCCAACUAGGCUAUAUGUGAAUGCUAGAUCAGACUCCAACCAGGUUGAAAAAGGAUGUUCGAUCUGAUCCCUGCAAGUUAUACUAGAAUGUUAGGUAAG
ensembl:lncRNA